AGAGUUUGAUCCUGGCUCAGAUUGAACGCUGGCGGCAGGCCUAACACAUGCAAGUCGAACGGUAACAGGCGAGUGCUUGCACUUGCGCUGACGAGUGGCGGACGGGUGAGUAACGCGUAGGAAUCUACCUGGUAGUGGGGGAUAGCCCGGGGAAACUCGGAUUAAUACCGCAUACGCCCUACGGGGGAAAGCAGGGGCUCUUCGGACCUUGCGCUAUUGGAUGAGCCUGCGUUAGAUUAGCUAGUUGGUGGGGUAAAGGCCUACCAAGGCGACGAUCUAUAGCUGGUCUGAGAGGAUGAUCAGCCACACUGGGACUGAGACACGGCCCAGACUCCUACGGGAGGCAGCAGUGGGGAAUAUUGCGCAAUGAGGCGAAAGCCUGACGCAGCCAUGCCGCGUGUGUGAAGAAGGCUCUAGGGUCGUAAAGCACUUUAAGUGGGGAGGAAGGCUACUUAGUUAAUACCUGAGUAGAUUGACGUUACCCACAGAAUAAGCACCGGCUAACUCCGUGCCAGCAGCCGCGGUAAUACGGAGGGUGCGAGCGUUAAUCGGAAUUACUGGGCGUAAAGCGCGCGUAGGCGGUUUUGUAAGCUGGGUGUGAAAGCCCCGGGCUCAACCUGGGAACUGCAUUCAGAACUGCAAGGCUAGAGUACAGUAGAGGGUGGUAGAAUUUCCUGUGUAGCGGUGAAAUGCGUAGAUAUAGGAAGGAAUACCAGUGGCGAAGGCGGCCACCUGGACUGAUACUGACGCUGAGGUGCGAAAGCGUGGGUAGCGAACAGGAUUAGAUACCCUGGUAGUCCACGCUGUAAACGAUGUCAACUAGCCGUAGGGAUCCUUGAGAUUUUUGUGGCGCAGCUAACGCACUAAGUUGACCGCCUGGGGAGUACGGCCGCAAGGUUAAAACUCAAAUGAAUUGACGGGGGCCCGCACAAGCGGUGGAGCAUGUGAUUUAAUUCGAUGCAACGCGAAGAACCUUACCUGGUCUUGACAUCCUCGGAAG
rnacentral:rRNA from 1 species